UAAUACCAAUUCUACGUAAAUAUCAAAAUGACGUGGCCACGCGAUGUCUUCGAUUCAGCUAAUUUUUUUCUUACUGAAACUUCAAUGAAUGAAAAGAUUGACUAUAUGAAAGAAAGCAUGGUAGUUUAUCCGGUUGCCAUGGAAACGGGACUUGAAGGUGUAAAUUAUAGUGGAUUUUGCUAUUUAUCAAUAAUAUCAAAAAAUAUUUACUAGACAAAGCUGUUUAUGUUCAUAUUUUUUUUUAUAUCCUUCAUGACAAUCAAAACUAUGUAAAAAAUAGCCAAGGUCACAAAAAUUUUACAAUUUCUAAUUUUCUGAUGCCCAAAAAGUGAAUAAUUAGUCCUCGUUACCUCCGUUGUUAGACUUAAUAUUUAAAGACUUUGACAAGUGAUGUGAAAAUUCUAGUAGGAAGAUUUAGAUUCAAGAAAUGUUAUUUUGCAAAUAUCAUUUAAAACAUUUAUGGGUAAAUGAAAAAUAAACGUUUUAUUACACUAUAAAGUUGGGCUAGAUGUGCUUUUUCUCUAUCCGAGUUAUUUCCCUUGUUGGAGCUCUUCGGCAUUGAAGAAUACAAAAUGUGUAAAUUGUAAACAAGAUGGCAGACAAUGAAAUCUGCAGUUUUUCUUCUUGUUUUGAAACAUCUUGUUCAGGAAAAUUCUACCUCAAGAGACUCAGAAUUUGAUGACAAACAGUUGACAAAGUUGGGAUAAUCUUUAAGAAAAGCCAAAGGGUUGAUCUGGACAUGAUGAGUAUUACACGUAUAGCUACUCGUAGAAAAGAAAAUAUGAGGAAAUCAGGGUGGUAUGGGGGCGAAGGCCGAGAGGAUUUUAGCUGUUCCCUUCAAGAUGUCUUUGAAAUAGAGAUCGAGAGAUAAAUGUAGAAGUGUGGUAGUCCCCGACCGAUCCCAAUUACAAUGUCCCUUGCAAGAUUUUCCUAAUGAAGAUUCUCAGGAUUACAGAUCCUCUAGCAAGGAGACCACACAGAUAGAGAUGACCAGAGCAGAGGACAUACAGCCCCCCCCCCCCCCCCCCCGUAAAAAAAAAAAAAAAAAUUCAAAGUGGACUGGAAGU